rnacentral:lncRNA from 10 species
GAGAAGAAACGGCGGAGACCUGAGACCCGGAGGCUGAGGCUGUAGGUGGGCUCCGCUGGGUAAAAGUUGCCGCAGCAGCUGUCCCUUGGCCCCAUCGCGAUUUAUUUUUCCCCCUUGCUUUCCGGGUCCCGGGAUCCCAAGUUUGUAACUAACGGGAGCGAAUCCACACCCGAGCAAAAUGUUUGCGAGUUUCAGGCGCCCUUAGUUGAAAGGCUGUAAUUAACAAGUCCGCUGUUUGCCAGCCAGGCGCCGUUGCAGGCGCUUUCUGUGGAUUGUCAUUUAUUUCUCACAGCAACCCUAGGAGAUGAAAUUGAAUCAUGGAAGAAUGCCUUUAUCUGAGGAGUCAUCACCACUAGGGAGCUAUGGAGGCUGUUAUCCUUGACAUCUGCAGCAGCCCUUCCAAGCUGUGGAGACCAGGUCAUCUGGAAUGCCCAUUUAUGUCAAUGGAAGAAAGAAAAAGGGGUCUCCUCCCAUCCUCACCACUGCAUUCUCCCACCAACCCUGCUCCUGUCCCACUUCCCACAACUCAGUUGUUGACAAUUUAACAGUGGGUUUCUGGAAACAGUGCUGCCUCCUUGAUGGUCUAACUAACUACCAGAGUUAUUCUAACAGCAGGAAUUUCAAGCCAGCAAACCAGACAUACAUAGGAGGCACAGCAAAAGACCCAAGGUGAGGGGCUUCCCUCACCUUCACCCUUGUUCUCACGUGGAGGUGGCGCAUGUCUAUGAGACACAGUACCCCACUCAGCGAUCCUCUGCAGUCCAGGAAAUUCUAGCACUUGCUUGGAAAACAAAUCAAGUGGUAAGAAAUGUUUUUAUUCCUUUAGCUGUGUCAACUUGGAUGGUGCUGGGGCCAUUCAGCUCAUUUCCCUGAUGGAUUAGAAUAAAACGUCUUCGUUUUCUAUUAAAAUCUGCACAAUCAGCUUUUGGUACCGCAUAUCAUGCAGGGUGGUCAGGGUGCUGUCCUCAGGGGGCCUCAUCAGAGUGGGCCCAAACACGAUCCCCAGAUUUUCUGCAUUCAUGAAAUUGUCUUUUUCAUUCAUAGUAACCCUGCAAAACAAACAUAUAGAACAGAGACAUUAUGGAGACUUGAGGAUUGAUUUUAUGUAUUGAUUAUGUAUGUAAGUCCCGAUAACAUCUCUGGUUCAGGAAAUUGCAAGAAAAAGAUUGGGAAUCAGAACAGCAGAAAGGUAUUUUUGGAAGGGUAAUUUACUGAUUUUUCGUUUUAAAUUGUUGACAUUGCCUUCGCCGGUGGAAAUGAAUUACUUAUGUGAAUCUGGCAGGAACACAAUUUUUAAAAUUAGAAAAUUAGUCCUCCUUAUUAAGUAAAUGUGGAACUAUCAUUUGAGGAAUACUGGUUUGUAGGGGCAGCAGAUUCUGAGGCUGGCCCAUGGUCCUUUCAUAGGCCUUAUACAGAAGGCGUUUUUUUUUUCCCUCUUGUGGCUUCCUGCUGGUCUGUAUGCUGGAGAGUGGGAAGGGAAGGGCAGGAUCCCUCUCUGCUGGGAGGACCGGUGCCAGAGGAGAAAGGUUAUGUGUAGAAUGGGCUGUCAUGAAUUGAGGAAGAGUCAGGCCGUUAUCGUGGGGUGGGGGAACGGCUGGAAUGUCGCCAGACUGGACGGCAGUUGGACAUUAUUUCUAGUUCCCACAGGAUGAGGUCUACAGCAGUUGAAAUUAAAAAUCAUUUCGACAUCCAGGUAAGAACUGCAGAGCCUUUAAGAAUAAAAUUCAAACUGCAAAGCUGGUUUAACACCUUCCUCAUGGAAUAAAAUUACAAUCUAUCUAUCUCCCAGAGUUUUGUUUUCACAACUUUAAGUUUUAGAAUGUUCAUAAUAGAUGUAAAAGGGAAUGGGUUCUCCAAAAAUGAGCAAAAUAUAAUUAAAAUGUGUUUAGGAAAAUAUAAUUAAAAUGUGUUUAGGUUGUGCAUAAAAAGCCAUCCCUUUCUAUUUCCUUAUAACUCAUUAGGAUUAGCCAUUGAGUAUUAUUUUAAGGUCAACCCAGUUUGUGUCAUGUACAUGCCACAAAGCCUAAGAAGAAGGUUGGAAAGAGGACGUUUCUCACCAUCAAAGUGCCCACAGUUUCCUCUUAAGUCAGGCACUAUGCCUGACUAAACAAGAUGGCUGGCAAACCCACUAUGAUAAAGAUACAGUAUUAUUGGCAUUUAAGGUUCAGCUGAAAGGUGUCAGCAUUUUUCUGGUAGUGGUACUUUGCCUUCCAAACUGUAACAACUGGAUAUUGAUCACAAUAAGUAUUUUACAGCUAAUUGAAAGCCAGAUGUGAUACCCAUAGUUUAUUAUCUAAAAAUUACUUGCACUCCUAAAUUCAGUAAAUUAAUCAGAAUGGGAAUAUUCUGAGCUAAAUGUUACCAUCACCCUGAAUCUGAGCAACAAUAUUGUAUGUCUUCUUGUAUGUCUUAUAAGGUAGAAAAAUAAAAAUCUCAAUACCUACUGUUUAUACAGUCCUCCGUUUGCUUCUUUUCACAUACUAAGUAGAUCUGUAAACUGGUCAAUGUAGACAAUUUUCGGUUCAUUUUAUUUUUAUCAAAGAAUGGGCUGCUGCCAAGUAUCUUUCAAAAACACAGAGGCACACAGAUGUGCCCUGAUCCCUCCAAUGUUAUAACACCAAUUCAUCGACCUCAUUACACAUGUGCAGUGAAAGAGAGAGACACAAGGUUUAGGGAGAAUAGUGUCACCAGAGGUUCUAGUGUCCCAUAAACAUCCAGACGUCUCCAUCUCUGUCUCCCACACACUCACGCAGACAGCUGUGUGUGUGGCAGGUACUCUCUGAGAUGGACCUCAGCGAUCCAUGCCUCCUGGAAUUCAUACCCUGCAUCCCUUCCCCUAAAGUAUGGGAUGGACUUGAUUUGCUUCUAACAGAUAAAACACGGUAAAAGCAAUAGGAUGUCACUUC